CGUGGUGGCUUCAUCCUCAGGCAGACUGACUCUCCUUGGCACUGGGUUGCUCUGCAGACAACUGGAACAACAGCCCCAGUGGAAGUGAAGAUCUCCAUUUCCAACAGCCUUGCAAAAGUCAUGGGCCUGGCUCUGAUUGCAGUCACAUGACCAUCUUGGAUGUUCAGAGGAUAAACUAAGUAGAUCAUGAGCAUCUGCAGAACAAGGACCAUCUUCUCUUCCUCACUGAACAAUGGGUUGUGCAUACGACUAUGUGAGCCACCACACAGAGACCCUAUUAUGUGCACACUGACCUGUAUUCUGCUCCUGAAUUUGGAUCAAAAAUUACAAUGCCAGGAGAGACCAGAGAGAGAAAAAUGUGAGAAUCCAGCUAGAUGAAGAUAGUCAUGAUGGGACCAUCUGUGAUAAAUG